rnacentral:rRNA from 1 species
GAACUGAAGAGUUUGAUCAUGGCUCAGAUUGAACGCUGGCGGCAGGCCUAACACAUGCAAGUCGAGCGGAUGAAGGGAGCUUGCU